GACGAACGCUGGCGGCGUGCUUAACACAUGCAAGUCGAACGAAGCAGCUUAACGGAACUCUUCGGAGGGAAGAUAAGUUGACUGAGUGGCGGACGGGUGAGUAACGCGUGAGCAACCUGCCCAUAAGAGGGGGAUAACAGUUGGAAACGACUGCUAAUACCGCAUAAGACCACAUUACCGCAUGGUAGAGGGGUCAAAGAAAUUCGCUUAUGGAGGGGCUCGCGUCCCAUUAGGUAGUUGGUAGGGUAAAGGCCUACCAAGCCGACGAUGGGUAGCCGACCUGAGAGGGUGAUCGGCCACACUGGAACUGAGACACGGUCCAGACUCCUACGGGAGGCAGCAGUGGGGAAUAUUGGGCAAUGGGCGCAAGCCUGACCCAGCAACGCCGCGUGAGGGAAGAAGGCCUUCGGGUUGUAAACCUCUGUCCUAUGGGAAGAAGAAAGUGACGGUACCAUAGGAGGAAGCUCCGGCUAACUACGUGCCAGCAGCCGCGGUAAUACGUAGGGAGCAAGCGUUGUCCGGAAUUACUGGGCGUAAAGGGUGCGUAGGCGGUUGUUUAAGUCAGAUGUGAAAUACCCGGGCUUAACCCGGGGGCUGCAUCUGAUACUGGAUAACUAGAGUGCAGGAGAGGAAAGUGGAAUUCCUAGUGUAGCGGUGGAAUGCGUAGAUAUUAGGAGGAACACCAGUGGCGAAGGCGACUUUCUGGACUGUAACUGACGCUGAGGCACGAAAGUAUGGGUAGCAAACAGGAUUAGAUACCCUGGUAGUCCAUACUGUAAACGAUGAAUACUAGGUGUGGGGGACAAUAGUCUUCCGUGCCGCAGCCAACGCAAUAAGUAUUCCGCCUGGGGAGUACGGUCGCAAGACUGAAACUCAAAGGAAUUGACGGGGGCCCGCACAAGCAGCGGAGCAUGUGGUUUAAUUCGAAGCAACGCGAAGAACCUUACCAAGGCUUGACAUCCCGGUGACCGGCAUAGAGAUAUGCCUUCUCUUCGGAGCACCGGUGACAGGUGGUGCAUGGUUGUCGUCAGCUCGUGUCGUGAGAUGUUGGGUUAAGUCCCGCAACGAGCGCAACCCUUGUUACUAGUUGCCAGCAUUUCGGAUGGGAACUCUAGUGAGACUGCCGGGGAUAACUCGGAGGAAGGUGGGGAUGACGUCAAAUCAUCAUGCCCUUUAUGUCUUGGGCUACACACGUGCUACAAUGGUCGGUACAAAGAGCGGCGAGCUCGUAAGAGUAAGCGAAUCUCAUAAAGCCGGUCUCAGUUCAGAUUGUGGGCUGCAACCCGCCCACAUGAAGUCGGAGUUGCUAGUAAUCGCGGAUCAGCAUGCCGCGGUGAAUGCGUUCCCGGGCCUUGUACACACCGCCCGUCACACCAUGGAAGUUGGGGGCGCCCGAAGCCGAUGGCCUAACCGCAAGGAGGGAGUCGUCGAAGGUGAAACCAAUGACUGGGGUGAAGUCGUAACAAGGUAGCCGUAUCGGAAGGUGCGGCUGGAUCACCUCCUUAAUCACGAAUUCUGGAUCCGAUACGUAACGCGUCUGCAGCAUGCGUGGUACCGAGCUUUCCCUAUAGUGAGUCGUAUUAGAGCUUGGCGUAAUCAUGGUCAUAGCUGUUUC
rnacentral:rRNA from 1 species